rnacentral:rRNA from 1 species
UACGGAGGAUGCAAGCGUUAUCCGAAAUGAUUGGGCGUAAAGCGUCCGCAGGUGGCUAUGUAAGUCUGCUGUUAAAGAGCAAAGCUUAACUUUGUAAAAGCAGUGGAAACUACAUAGCUAGAGUGCGUUCGGGGCAGAGGGAAUUCCUGGUGUAGCGGUGAAAUGCGUAGAGAUCAGGAAGAACACCGGUGGCGAAGGCGCUCUGCUAGGCCGCAACUGACACUGAGGGACGAAAGCUAGGGGAGCGAAUGGG